ACAUUUACCUGGCAGGGGAGAUACUGUGAUCAUGAAGAUGGUUUUCCCAGGGAGAGGCUCAUGCAUUGCACCCUGGGUGUGCUGACCCCUGCAAUUUCCCCAGAUGUGGGAAACUCUACUGCAUGAUUUGUGGUAGUGGGGGACUGUGUUUGUGCUUUCCCCUG
ensembl:snRNA U1 U1 spliceosomal RNA